rnacentral:tRNA from 1 species
GGGGCAUUAGCUCAGUUGGUAGAGUGCUUGCAUGGCAUGCAAGAUGUCAGCGGUUCGAAUCCGCUAUGCUCCA